GGGGUGUUAGCUCAGUGGAUAGAGCAUUGGUCUUCGGAACCAAGGGUCGGGAGUUCGAAUCUCUCACGCCCCGCCA
rnacentral:tRNA from 1 species